rnacentral:tRNA from 1 species
GGAUAUGAAGCUCAGUGGUGUAGAGUGUUUGUCUAGUAUGAAUGAGAUUCUGGGUUAAAUCCCCAGCAUGCCUC